ensembl:lncRNA novel transcript
CAGCCUCCGGAGUAGCUGGGAUUACAGGCAUGGUGGCAUGCACCUGUAGUCCCAGCUACUCAGGAGGCUCAGGCAGGAGGAUCACUUGAGCCCAGGAGGCAGAGGUUGUAGUGAGCCAAGAUUGCACCACUGCACUCCAGCCUGGGCAACAGAGUGAGACCCUUUCUCAAUCAAUUAAUCAAUAAAUGUGCAAGUAUAAAAAAAAUUUAGUUUAUCAAGUAUCUUUUAUGUGACUAAGAAGUAUGAUCUGCUGCUCAUUUUCCUCACAGCUAUGAACUAAAAGCCAAUGAGCUGACCUGCAGUCAGUUUCAGCUCUGCUGCUUACAUCUGGGUAACCUCAGUCAAGUCCCCAAUCCUGCUG